GAUAUGGUUUUUUUGAAAGUCUGCUUAAUUUAUAAGGGGUGGAAGGUUUAUUGUCAUUUAGAGUCCAAAGCCUGGCAGCGAUGGAGCGUUUGGCGGCAGCUGUGCACAGCUGCUCUUGCUUUAUGCCUUUUACAUGUUUUUAAAUUGCCCUGUUUGAAUCUGCAGCCGCCGAAGCAUCCCGGUUUGCAGAAGGGUGGUUCCUCCUGCCCUCUGACACUGGCAGGAGACUGCCCUACUCCCCAAACGACCCGACUCACCUUCCAGAAGUGUUCCUGGCUGAUCCAGUCUCACGCUGACUACUCCAUGCCUUCCGGUCACUGUCCAGCCCCUGUGAAACACCAGCAAGCACUCACGUGCAUCAGACCCUGGAUCAUCCGAAGUCUAACUUAGCGCUCAGGCUGGUGUCUGACAUAUUCUUGAUUCACUGGAACGAGGACUGAAUACUGUCAGUCCCAGCAGUCCUCUGAGGAUGGUUUUAGGAACUCCAUCCUGCAGGAGGGAGGGGCCUGAGAGUGUGUGACACCUGCUCAAAUAACAGUGUCAGAGCCAGGAUUUUGGAUUCUGAGGCCCGAGUUUUUGUUUCGUUGUUUUGUUUUCUCACCAGCGGCCGCCCACCUAGCCACCUGGCAGGCAUUUGGGGGAGAUUCGGAAAUGUUUCCUCUUUGCUGCCAUCCUGUCUAGUAUCUGUGAAACACCCAUCACUCACCAGCUGCAGACAUUCUCCAGAAAGCUUCAGAACACCCUCGCAAAGGUGUCUGCUAUUGCCCCCAUUUUACAGAUGUGGAAGCAGGUUGAAGGAGGCUUCCUAGUAACUGACUGAGCUGCUUCCCGAGGUAAGGGUCAGAGUGACUGGGAUACAGGCUGGAGAGGGAUGACCUGCAAACCCAGCUUGGCAAGGGUUGGCAGGAGCAGAGGAGGGUCAGGAGAAGCUCCUAGAAGUCUCUUUCCCCUACUGGCCUUUGAGGGCAGAGGUGAGAUUUGGUAGACUCUUGAUAGGAAUUGUUCUGUGUGCAAGCAAGAACCGAGUUAGGUGGAGUGUAAGCAUUCUAGCCUGGCCUGGGUUGUCCCGAGUCCCUUCUGGUUUCAGUCUUGAACUUGUCCUUCCCUGCAAUGCAGAGAUGCGCAGGUGGGAGGGGAGGAUCUAUAGGCUGCUGUGUACAACUGGUCCUUAAGGUUUCUAUCAACCCCAUCCACAAUUUUUCCCACCAGCCUCCUGCCAGCACCAUGGAGUGAAGAGCAGUCUGGCCCAGGAUGCUGAGUUGGAUCCACUUAGACAUUCUCC
rnacentral:lncRNA from 1 species